rnacentral:rRNA from 1 species
GCUCGUAUGAAGCGUGACUGAGCGACAUGAUGCUCAAUGCUGCUGAACUACUUAGCUAGAGAUGUCGAGGUAAUGUUACGUUGAUGAGAGGUGAUGAUUUUCGUAUUUCAAAAGACCACUACAGGCGAAGCAGUACUAGUCACACUGACACUGAGUACUGAGCGUGGGAGCAAAUAGAUUAGAGACCCGAGUAGUCACGCCGUCAACGAUGGUGUUGCAUAUACGUUUUGUACUUUGGUACUUCACUAAAAGAACGUGUGUGUAAGCUAACGCGUUAAAACACCCCCCCCCCUGGGGAGUACGGUCGCAAGAUUAAAACUCAAAGGAAUUGCGGGGAAGUUGCAGCAGCGGUGGAAUAUGUGGUUUAAUUUGAUAUAACGCAAAAAAACCUUACCCAAUUCUUGUAAUGCAAAGGAGUUUGUUCUGUUCGGAACUGUAAUCUUCAAGAUUUUGAAUGAUAUAAUACCUUUGCACAGGUGCUGCAUGGCUGUCGUCAGCUCGUGCUGUGAAGUGUCGGGUUAAGUCCCUCAACGAGCGAAACCCCUGUCACUAGUUGCUAACAGGUAAUGCUGAGGACUCUAGUGAGACCGCCGGUGUCAAACCGGAGGAAGGUGGGGAUGACGUCAAGUCCUCAUGGCCUUUAUGCCCAGGGCUGCACACGUGCUACAAUGGUACCGACAGAACGAUGCAAGACCGCAAGGUGGAGCAAAACGCUCAAAAGGUGCCCCAGUUCGGAUUGGAGGGUGCAAUUCGCCUCCAUGAAGUUGGAAUCGCUAGUAAUCGCGGAUCAGCUACGCCGCGGUGAAUAAGUUCCUGAGCCUUGUACACACCGCCCGUCAAGUCAUGGGAGCUGGCAGUGCCCGAAGUCGCCUCGAUUCAGGGGUGCCCACGGCAAGGCUGGUGACUGGGAUAAGUCGUAACAAGGUAACC